rnacentral:rRNA from 1 species
UACAGAGGUCUCAAGCGUUGUUCGGAAUUACUGGGCGUAAAGCGCGCGCAGGCGGCUAUCCAAGUCAGUGGUGAAAGCCCGGAGCUCAACUCCGGAACUGCCAUUGAAACUGUUUAGCUUGAGGAUGAGAGAGGUGAGUGGAAUUCCCAGUGUAGAGGUGAAAUUCGUAGAUAUUGGGAAGAACACCGGUGGCGAAGGCGGCUCACUGGCUCAUUACUGACGCUCAGGCGCGAUAGCGUGGGGAUCAAACAGG